CUGUGCCCUGAGCUGCUGGAGGGGAGCCUAAGCCGGGGACAUGGGCACCCCGGGAGGAGGAGGACGGCGGACGCGGUAUUUGAGAUGGCGGCAAACACUGCCAGGCUCGCAGAUCCAAACAAGCUCCUUCCAUUCUCACAACCACCAGGGGACUGCUCAUGGCACCCCACCUACAGGCAAAGAAGUGGAGACACAGGAAGGUCACCGAGCAAGUUGGUGACAGAACUGGGAUUAAUCCAGGGCGCCUGGCUUCAGAGGCUGCUCCCCUAACAACAGGAUGUGGGGCACAGGUGGCCCCCACCCCACCCCAGGUAACAGCCCAGCAGGUGCAGGACUGGGUCUGAAGGCAGAAGUAAGUCUCACUGUCCGCUGGCAAAGCGGCCAUUCUCCUUCUGGAGAAAGCUGCUUUCCUCCUGGUCCCCUGGAAUCAUCCACUCAGGGCCUGCAGCCCAGGCCCCUCCACCAGCUGAAAACCGUGCCUUUCCAGGACAGACUCCACAGGGCGCCAAACAGCCAACUGCCCUGCCCCAGGGCCCCCGAGUUUCCAUUUCCUUUCCCAGCAGCAAGACUCUCUGCCCUUUCGACGGGCCCUGGGGGUGUGUGUGCAUGUGAGCGUGUACCAGGGUGUGUGUGUGCAUGUGGGCAGGUACCUGGGUGUGUGUGGUGUGUACCUGGGUGUGUGUGUGCAUGUCCAUGUGUACCUGUACCUGAGGGUGUGUGUGCAUGUGAGAUUUACCUGGGUGUGUGUGUACCUGGAUGUGUGUGUGUGAUGUGCGUGUGGUGUGUGUGUGUGAGCGUGUACCUGUACCUGGGUGUGUGCAUGUGGGCAUGUACCUGGGUGUGUGUGUGCAUGUGAGUGUUUACCUGGGUGUGUGUGUGCAUGUGGGCAUGUACCUGGGGGGUGUGUGCAUGUGAGUGUGUACCUGGGUGUGUGUGUGUGCAUGUGGGCAUGUACCUGGGUGUGUGUGGUGUGUACCUGGGUGUGUGUGUGCAUGUCCAUGUGUACCUGUACCUGGGUGUGUGUGUGCAUGUGAGGGUGCACCUGGGUUUGUGUGUGUGUGUGCAUGUGACCGUGUACCAGGGUGUGUGUGUGCAUGUGGGCAUGUACCUGGGUGUGUGUGGUGUGUACCUCGGUGUGUGUGUGCAUGUCCAUGUGUACCUGUACCUGGGUGUGUGUGUGCAUGUGGGCAUGUACCUGGGGGUGUGUGUGCAUGUGAGCGUGUACCUGGGUUUGUGUGUGUGUGUGUGUGCAUGUGACCGUGUACCAGGGUGUGUGUGUGCAUGUGGGCAUGUACCUGGGUGUGUGUGGUAUGUACCUGGGUGUGUGUGUGCAUGUCCAUGUGUACCUGUACCUGAGGGUGUGUGUGCAUGUGAGUGUUUACCUGUGUGUGUGUGGUGUGUGUGCAUGUGAGUGUGUACCUGGGUGUGUGUGUGUGUGCAUGUGAGCGUGGACCUGGGGGUGUGUGCAUGUGAGCAUGUAGCUGGGGGGGUGUGUACAUGUGAGUGUGUACCUAGGUGUGUGCAUGUGCGUACCUCUGUCAGCAUAGUAGUGUCUGUCUCUCCACUGGUUCAGUGUCUGUCUAGACUCUCUCUCCCUGGUCUAGGAAGACCUUGAAUGAAUGAGCCUCAUGGCGUCAACACUGAGCAGGGCAGCCUGGUGCUCACACUGAGACCAUGUGAGCGAGGCAGGACUCAGCCUUUCUAGAGCAAAGUUGUUCCAUUUCUAGUUUCCUUGUUCUGGUGGAUUCAGCACCUUGGCAACUAGCCGAGACAACACAGCUCUAAUGCGCCGCUGUGGCGGUAUUUUCCCUCCCCGUCAGUAGCUGAUAUCUGAAUGGUCAAAUCCCGCCCCAGAGCCGAUGCUCGAGAACGCUCUUCUCCUCCAGCCACGCGCCGUGGAGGGACACUGGCCGCACAGAUGACCAGGCCCAGCGUGGAUGAGAGAGAUGAGGAAAGCAGCGCCACAGCCGAGGGGCGAGGCUGAUGCUAGCCUGAGCGAGCACAGUGGAGACCCAGAGCCGGCCAGCCCCAGCCCAGCUGAGCGCCCGGGAGCUGCGGAAGACGGCAACAGACAGACCUGAAUGCUAGUCCACGCAUUCUCCUCCCAUCGGGACGGCUCACACACUCUUUGCUUCAUAGAAUCAGAAAUUGUUCAAAUAUUUGUUGGCUAAAAUACGGAAGCAAUUUCUUUAAAAUACGCUUUCCUUGGUCUCUAUAAGACACCCAAUUUGGUAAAACGUGUACUGUGCAAAUAAUUUAAAUUCAUAAUCAAAGCAGCCAAGGUCCUGCCUUGCCCGGCCUUGAUGAGUCACCCAGCCUCUGUGAGCCUCAGCUCCGACGGUAAAGGGACUUUACCUGCAUGUCCUAACUCGGAGUGGAACUGUGAGGCGCAAGUGCCCGGCCACAGGAAGGGCUUCAGGUGGGCCUAACGUCGCUCCCGGCAUUGCAGAGCUGGCUUGGACGUUAUGCCCACUGCUCGCCACCACCCUGGACCGUAGGUAGGAGAUGUGAGGCCGGAGGGGUGACUGUGUCACGUUUAGAGGGAAAAACUGCUUGUCCCUAACUACCCAGCAGGAAAGGGCAACCCACUCCAGCAGUCUUGCUUAGAACAUCCCACGGACGGAGGAGCUUGGCAGGAUACAGUCCACGGGGUGGCAGAGUCGGACACGACUGAGCGACUUCAGUCUUUUUCAACCACCGAGCAGAAAUGAAGUGACCUCUCUGUUCACUCUCAGCAGGCUGCACCUCGAGGGCGGCUCCUCUGGGGACCCGCA
ensembl:lncRNA